CUGCCUCCCGCCGAGCUCCUAACCCUGGAGCGCGUGUCCAGUUUGACACCGUGCUCAGGCUCUGCUCGCCGUCGCCUAUGGCUGACUCCUCUGCCUCCGAUCCGUGGCGCCAUCGUGGGCUCGCCCCAGCCCUAUAGCUGUCGGUUGUCCUCGCCCUGCCCCAUUGCACGCUGGUACCCUCUCCUGCAGCUCACCACAUCAGCCGCGGCCGUUGCUCCUCCACCAAGCCUCGCCGGGGUGCUCUUCUUGGCGCGCCUCUGCUCCUCUGCUCGCCGUGAAGCUCUAUCUUCGCCAGCUCGCUCCAGACUCGACCUCAUCAUCGUUCCUCAGCUUCACACCGACUUCCAGCUCGUCGGUCGAGCUCCUCCCUCGCGCUCAGAUCCAGUCGUUGACGCCCAGCCACGUGUUCUUCCUCCCAGCUCGUGGGUGCCGUCGUUCCGUGUGCUUGGCCAUCAAAGUUCGCCGGCCAUCACGACAUCCCCAGUCUGUCGUCGAUCCACGGUUGUCUUUGUUUCUCUGUCGACCGUCCGCUUCCUUCGGACAGCGCGCUUGUCCCCCACGCAGCGUCGUCUUCAACCUUCAGCUCUUCUUCCUCAAACGGUGUUCCAGCAGCUCGCUCCCAUGGCGCUUAUGUCAACUCCUGCGCGCCCAUGUCCUUUACUCGGCUAG
rnacentral:misc_RNA from 1 species